AUUAUACCGUGAAACUGCGAAUGGCUCAUUAAAUCAGUUAUCGUUUAUUUGAUAAUACCUUACUACUUGGAUAACCGUGGUAAUUCUAGAGCUAAUACAUGCUGAAAAUCCCGACUUCGGAAGGGAUGUGUUUAUUAGAUAAAAAACCAAUGCCCUUCGGGGCUCCUUGGUGAUUCAUAAUAACUUUACGGAUCGCAUAGCCUUGCGCUGGCGACGGUUCAUUCAAAUUUCUGCCCUAUCAACUUUCGAUGGUAAGGUAUUGGCUUACCAUGGUUUCAACGGGUAACGGGGAAUUAGGGUUCGAUUCCGGAGAGGGAGCCUGAGAAACGGCUACCACAUCCAAGGAAGGCAGCAGGCGCGCAAAUUACCCAAUCCCGAUUCGGGGAGGUAGUGACAAUAAAUACUGAUACAGGGCUCUUUUGGGUCUUGUAAUUGGAAUGAGUACAAUUUAAACCUCUUAACGAGGAACAAUUGGAGGGCAAGUCUGGUGCCAGCAGCCGCGGUAAUUCCAGCUCCAAUAGCGUAUAUUAAAGUUGUUGCAGUUAAAAAGCUCGUAGUUGAAACUUGGGUCUGGCUGGCGGGUCCGCCUCACCGCGUGCACUCGUCCGGCCGGGCCUUCCUUCUGAAGAACCUCAUGCCCUUUACUGGGCGUGUUGGGGAAUCAGGACUUUUACUUUGAAAAAAUUAGAGUGUUCAAAGCAGGCCUUUGCUCGAAUACGUUAGCAUGGAAUAAUAAAAUAGGGCGUGCGUUUCUAUUUUGUUGGUUUCUAGAGACGCCGCAAUGAUUAACAGGAACAGUCGGGGGCAUCAGUAUUCAGUUGUCAGAGGUGAAAUUCUUGGAUUUACUGAAGACUAACUACUGCGAAAGCAUUUGCCAAGGAUGUUUUCAUUAAUCAGUGAACGAAAGUUAGGGGAUCGAAGACGAUCAGAUACCGUCGUAGUCUUAACCGUAAACUAUGCCGACUAGGGAUCGGGCGAUGUUCUUUUUCUGACUCGCUCGGCACCUUACGAGAAAUCAAAGUUUUUGGGUUCUGGGGGGAUUAUGGUCGCAAGGCUGAAACUUAAAGAAAUUGACGGAAGGUCACCACCAGGCGUGGAGCCUGCGGCUUAAUUUGACUCAACACGGGGAAACUCACCAGGUUCAGAUGAAAUAAGGAUUGACAGAUUGAGAGCUCUUUCUUGAUUUUUCAGGUGGUGGUGCAUGGCCGUUCUUAGUUCGUGGGGUGACUUGUCUGCUUAAUUGCGAUAACGAGCGAGACCUUACUCUGCUAAAUAGCCAGGCUAGCUUUGGCUGGUCGCCGGCUUCUUAGAGAGACUAUCAACUCAAGUUGAUGGAAGUUUGAGGCAAUAACAGGUCUGUGAUGCCCUUAGAUAUUCUGGGCCGCACGCGCGCUACACUGACAGAGCCAACGAGUUCUUUCCCUUGGCCGAAAGGUCUGGGUAAUCUUGUUAAACUCUGUCGUGCUGGGGAUAAAGCAUUGCAAUUAUUGCUUUUCAACGAGGAAUGCCUAGUAAGCGCGUGUCAUCAGCAUGCGUUGAUUACGUCCCUGACCUUUGUACACACCGCCCGUCGCUACUACCGAUUGAAUGGCUCAGUGAGGCCUUCGGACUGGCUCGGGGAGGUUGGCAACGACCACCCCAAGCCGGAAAGUUGGUCAAACUCG
rnacentral:rRNA from 3 species